UGCAGUGGGUGGUGUAUGCUAUCCGAAACCUCACCGAAGACAACAGCCGCAACCAGGAUCUGAUUGCCAAGAUGGAGGACCAGGGCCUCGCUGACACAUCCCUACUGAAGAAAAUGGGGUUUGAAGUGGAAAAGCAGGGGGAAAAGCUGAUUCUGAAGUCUACUGGUGACGCACCCCCACCGUGAGUGGCCUCUCCAUCCAGGCACAUGACGUUUCAGAAUCUGGCUUGUGGAUGUUUCACGUUCUAGUACGCAAACUUGCUGUGUUUGAAGUAGAAGUACAGAUUCGGGACCCCGAGUGUCGUAGGUACAAGUCCCUGCGUUUCCCCUUCCUCUGCAAGGGUGUCCCCGCUUCCCCCGCCUGCGGUAGAUGUGUGUUUCUGUGGUAAUCAUUGUAUUCACUGUGCAGCAAAUAAUAAACGUCUCUGAGGGCACAGCCCCUGUUUGGCAAAGA